GUGCUCACUUUAGUAGCACAUACACUAAAACUGGAAUGAUACAGAGAAGAUUAGCAUGGCCUCUGCACAAGGAUGACAUGCAAAUUUGUGAAGCAUUUCAUAUUAAA